GCCUUGGUAGCCCAAUCGGUACGAGGCGCGGAGCUCAAACCUCCGUCGAUGCGGGUUCGAAUCCCGCCUAAGGCACAA
rnacentral:tRNA from 1 species